rnacentral:tRNA from 2 species
GCGGGAAUAACUCAGUGGUAGAGUGCGACCUUGCCAUGGUCGAAGUCGCGGGUUCGAAUCCCGUUUCCCGCUCCA